rnacentral:rRNA from 1 species
CGAUGGAGGGGGAUAACUACUGGAAACGGUAGCUAAUACCGCAUAACGUCUACGGACCAAAGUGGGGGACCUUCGGGCCUCACACCAUCGGAUGUGCCCAGAUGGGAUUAGCUGGUAGGUGAGGUAAUGGCUCACCUAGGCGACGAUCCCUAGCUGGUCUGAGAGGAUGACCAGCCACACUGGAACUGAGACACGGUCCAGACUCCUACGGGAGGCAGCAGUGGGGAAUAUUGCACAAUGGGCGCAAGC